AUUGAUUUUAUGCUUGCAUAAAUGAUUUUUGGAUUCGGAGCGAGUGGCGAACUGGUGAGUAACACGUGGGUAACCUGCCCCGAAGCGGGGGAUAACAUUUGGAAACAAGUGCUAAUACCGCAUAAUUAGUUGGAACCGCAUGGUUCCAACUUGAAAGAUGGCUCUGCUAUCACUUUGGGAUGGACCCGCGCCGUAUUAGUUAGUUGGUGAGAUAAAAGCCCACCAAGACGAUGAUACGUAGCCGACCUGAGAGGGUAAUCGGCCACAUUGGGACUGAGACACGGCCCAGACUCCUACGGGAGGCAGCAGUAGGGAAUCUUCCACAAUGGACGAAAGUCUGAUGGAGCAACGCCGCGUGAGUGAUGAAGGGUUUCGGCUCGUAAAACUCUGUUGUUAAAGAAGAACAAGUGUUAGAGUAACUGUUAACACUUUGACGGUAUUUAACCAGAAAGCCACGGCUAACUACGUGCCAGCAGCCGCGGUAAUACGUAGGUGGCAAGCGUUGUCCGGAUUUAUUGGGCGUAAAGCGAGCGCAGGCGGUUUUGUAAGUCUGCUGUGAAAGCCCUCAGCUCAACUGAGGAAGUGCAGUGGAAACUACAAAACUUGAGUACAGAAGAGGAAAGUGGAACUCCAUGUGUAGCGGUGAAAUGCGUAGAUAUAUGGAAGAACACCAGUGGCGAAGGCGGCUUUCUGGUCUGUUACUGACGCUGAGGCUCGAAAGCAUGGGUAGCGAACAGGAUUAGAUACCCUGGUAGUCCAUGCCGUAAACGAUGAAUACUAGGUGUUGGAGGGUUUCCGCCCUUCAGUGCCGCAGCUAACGCAUUAAGUAUUCCGCCUGGGGAGUACGACCGCAAGGUUGAAACUCAAAGGAAUUGACGGGGGCCCGCGCAAGUGGUGGAGCAUGUGGUUUAAUUCGAUGCUACGCGAAGAACCUUACCAGCUCUUGACAUCUUCUGCCAACCCAAGAGAUUGGGCGUUCCCUUCGGGGACAGAAUGACAGGUGGUGCAUGGUUGUCGUCAGCUCGUGUCGUGAGAUGUUGGGUUAAGUCCCGCAACGAGCGCAACCCUUAUUAUUAGUUGCCAGCAUUUAGUUGGGCACUCUAGUGAGACUGCCGGUGAUAAA
rnacentral:rRNA from 1 species